rnacentral:rRNA from 1 species
UACAGAGGGUGCGAGCGUUAAUCGGAGUUACUGGGCGUAAAGGGCGCGUAGGCGGUUAUUUAAGUGAGAUGUGAAAUCCCUGGGCUUAACCUAGGAACUGCAUCUCAUACUGGAUAGCUAGAGUAUUGUAGAGGGUAGUGGAAUUUCCGGUGUAGCGGUGAAAUGCGUAGAGAUCGGAAGGAACACCAGUGGCGAAGGCGGCUGCCUGGACAAAUACUGACGCUGAGGCGCGAAAGCGUGGGGAGCAAACAGG